rnacentral:rRNA from 1 species
UACGGAGGGUGCAAGCGUUAUCCGGAUUCACUGGGUUUAAAGGGUGCGUAGGUGGCUUUGUAAGUCAGUUGGUGAAAUCUUAGAGCUAACUCUAAACUGCCAUUGAUACUGCUUAGCUUGAAUCAAGUAGAGGUGGAUGGAAUAUUACGUGUAGCGGUGAAAUGCUUAGAUAUGUAAUAGAACACCGAUUGCGAAGGCAGUUCACUAUGCUUGUAUUGACACUGAGGCACGAAAGCGUGGGGAUCAAACAGG